GACUUCAGACAACACAGACGGGAGUUGCUUCAAAGAACCUUUCUAAACAGGUUCACUUCUAAACAGGAUGGGUUCCCAUAUCCUUUCUUUUCAACUACCUCUGGUACAGGGAUGCUGGGCUGCUUUGGACCGUCUGCAGCUCUGACUAUGAUUUGCCUCAUGCUCUAGCACAAGCGUGGUUUUGCCAGCUGCAGGUAUUUCCUGCAAUUGUGUAGCAUUUUGGAAUUCUGGAAACUUUUCAGAGGGUUUUAAAAGGCAGAGGGUCAGUGAUUAUUGUUCAUUCAGAGGGUGUCUUAGGGUUUUACUGCUGUGAACAGACACCAUGACCAAUGCACCUCUUAUAAGGACAUUUAAUUGGGGCUGGCUUACAGGUUCAGUGGCUUAGUCCAUUAUUAUUAAGGCAGGAACAUGGCAAUGUCCAGGCAGG
rnacentral:lncRNA from 1 species